UGUAACAAAGAGAAGAAAAAGCAAAAACACCAUGAGUGAGCUAAUCAAAAAAUGCCUUACCCGCUUGAUUGUUAAUUGUUGUGUGUAUUUGUUUUUGCUUUUUGUUGUUGUUGAUUGUUGUUCUUUUUUGUUUGUUGUUUUUUCCUAUUGAUUGUUGUGUAUUGCCUCAAAAGCAGCAGGCUGCAAAUCUCAAAAAAACAAAACGCCACAUGCGAAGAACACA
rnacentral:ribozyme from 1 species